AUUGAACGCUGGCGGCAUGCUUUACACAUGCAAGUCGAACGGUAACAGGCCUUCGGGUGCUGACGAGUGGCGAACGGGUGCGUAAUGCAUCGGAACGUACCCAGAGGUGGGGGAUAACGCAGCGAAAGCUGUGCUAAUACCGCAUGCGAUCUGAGGAUGAAAGCGGGGGACCGAGCAGCAAUGUUUGGCCUCGCGCCUUUGGAGCGGCCGAUGUCGGAUUAGCUAGUUGGUGGGGUAAAGGCCUACCAAGGCGACGAUCCGUAGCUGGUCUGAGAGGACGACCAGCCACACUGGAACUGAGACACGGCCCAGACUCCUACGGGAGGCAGCAGUGGGGAAUUUUGGACAAUGGGCGCAAGCCUGAUCCAGCAAUGCCGCGUGCGGGAAGAAGGCCUUCGGGUUGUAAACCGCUUUUGGCAGGAACGAAACGGUGUCCGCUAAUACCGGGCGCUAAUGACGGUACCUGCAGAAUAAGCACCGGCUAACUACGUG
rnacentral:rRNA from 1 species